rnacentral:misc_RNA from 1 species
AACAUCGCGCACCUGCGGGAACCUGCGGAGGGAUCAUUACCGAGUUUGCUUUUCUAGCUCGAAACCCACUGUGAACAUACCUCUCUACUCGUUGCUUCGGCGGCAGCUCUCCCGUAGCUCUCCCCCUGCCCUCUCCCCCCCUUGCCCCUUCCGGGGGGUCGGGGACGGGAGGAGGGGGGCAGGUCUUCUGGGGUUCGACCGUCGGAGGGACGCAAACCCCAAACUCUUAAAUUACUUCUC